CCUACGGGAGGCAGCAGUAGAGAAUCAUUCACAAUGGGGGAAACCCUGCUGGGGCGACGCCGCGUGGGGGAAUGAAGGUCUUCGGAUUGUAAACCCCUGUCAUGUGGGAGCAAAUUAAAAAGAUAGUACCACAAGAGGAAGAGACGGCUAACUCUGUGACAGCAGCCGCGGUAAUACCGAGGUCUCAAGCGUGGUUCGGAAUCACUGGGCGUAACGCGUGCGUAGGCUGUUUCGUAAGUCGUGUGUGAAAGGCGCGUGCUCAACCCGCGGACGGCACAUGAUACUGCGAGACUAGAGUAAUGGAGGGGGAACCGGAAUUCUCGGUGUAGCAGUGAAAUGCGUAGAUAUCGAGAGGAACACUCGUGGCGAAGGCGGGUUCCUGGACAUUAACUGACGCUGAGGCACGAAGGCCAGGGGAGCGAAAGGGAUUAGAUACCCCAGUAGUC
rnacentral:rRNA from 1 species